UUGAGAGUUUGAUCCUGGCUCAGAACGAACGCUGGCGGAAGGCUUAACACAUGCAAGUCGAGCGCGCCCUUCGGGGUGAGCGGCAGACGGGUGAGUAACGCGUGGGAACGUACCUUUUGGUUCGGAACAACUGAGGGAAACUUCAGCUAAUACCGGAUAAGCCCUUACGGGGAAAGAUUUAUCGCCGAAAGAUCGGCCCGCGUUAGAUUAGC
rnacentral:rRNA from 1 species